rnacentral:rRNA from 1 species
UGGCAGGCUUAACACAUGCAAGUCGAACGAUGACUCUCUAGCUUGCUAGAGAUGAUUAGUGGCGGACGGGUGAGUAACAUUUAGGAAUCUGCCUAGUAGUGGGGGAUAGCUCGGGGAAACUCGAAUUAAUACCGCAUACGACCUACGGGUGAAAGGGGGCGCAAGCUCUUGCUAUUAGAUGAGCCUAAAUCAGAUUAGCUAGUUGGUGGGGUAAAGGCCCACCAAGGCGACGAUCUGUAACUGGUCUGAGAGGAUGAUCAGUCACACCGGAACUGAGACACGGUCCGGACUCCUACGGGAGGCAGCAGUGGGGAAUAUUGGACAAUGGGGGCAACCCUGAUCCAGCCAUGCCGCGUGUGUGAAGAAGGCCUUUUGGUUGUAAAGCACUUUAAGCAGGGAGGAGAGGCUAAUGGUUAAUACCCAUUAGAUUAGACGUUACCUGCAGAAUAAGCACCGGCUAACUCUGUGCCAGCAGCCGCGGUAAUACAGAGGGUGCGAGCGUUAAUCGGAAUUACUGGGCGUAAAGCGAGUGUAGGUGGCUCAUUAAGUCACAUGUGAAAUCCCCGGGCUUAACCUGGGAACUGCAUGUGAUACUGGUGGUGCUAGAAA